rnacentral:rRNA from 1 species
AGAGAACAUUAUCUUCGGAUAAUAAGUAAACUGGCGAACGGGUGAGUAACGCGUAAACAACUUGCCUCAGAGAUUGGGACAACAUUGGGAAACCAGUGCUAUUACCAAAUAAUGCAGCGGGCUCUUCGGAGCGCAGUUGUUAAAGUAGGCUUCGGCUUACACUUUGAGAUAGGUUUGCGUCCGAUUAGUUAGUUGGUAGGGUAAAAGCCUACCAAGACCAAGAUCGGUAGCUGGUCUGAGAGGAUGAUCAGCCACACUGGAAUUGAGAUACGGUCCAGACUCCUACGGGAGGCAGCAGUAAGGAAUUUUGCACAAUGGGCGAAAGCCUGAUGCAGCAACGCCGCGUGAACGAUGAAGUUUUUAGGAAUGUAAAGUUCUGUCGUAUGGGAAGAGAUCUUUCGAAUGUUAAUACCAUUCGUUAAUGACGGUACCAUACAAGAAAGCACCGGCUAACUUCGUGCCAGCAGCCGCGGUAAUACGAGGGGUGCUAGCGUUGUCCGGAUUUACUGGGCGUAAAGGGUACGUAGGCGUUUUAAUAAGUUGUAU